ACUAUCAUGGUUAGCUUGCUUUAUUAAUACUAAUAUUUAAAUAAUCAAGACUUGGGCCUUGGGGUCUUGAGGUCUCUGAAAAAUAAAAGAACUAUACCCAGUCCGAAAAUAAAAUAAAUAUUUUUAUUUUUAUUUUUCAAAUUUCUUUUAGCAUAAGUUAAAUUCAAACCACAAAGACUAAUCUUUUUGUUUGAAUUUGAACAGGUAUAACUGAUACUAACUGCUCUUUUGAAGAGGUGUAAUUCUGUUAUAAAACCACAAGUCCUAGGGCAUAAUACGAUGAUCUUUUUUCUGAACUAUCUCAUACUAUUUUAAAAUUACCUACUGUAUUGGAGAGAAGCACACCAACGGUCGCCAAAAUUCAAGGAUCCGGUGCUGGACCCUUGAAUUAUAGAUAGUUGAAUCCUGGGAGAUAGACGCCUGCUGAACUUCAAGUACUGAGAAGAGACAGGUACCAGGUUGGAUGGUGCUGAAAUGCUUGCUUGUGGUAGCAACUCACUUUGUUCCCUCAGCCAAAUUGCCUCUACUGGAAAAAGCUCUGAUUUCCAGAGCAGCUUCAGCUACUUCCUCAAGCCUUGAUCUUGCUUUUAUUUCAGCAAUUAUAGAUGAACACUCCCUACAACAACCGGCCCUGAACUAGAAAAGUGCUCUUCACAAAAUGGAUGUUAUUGACAAGUGCUUUUCAUAAAAAAUGGAAAGUUAGGAGUAGGUUGUUCAUAAAAAAAAUAAAUAAAAAAGAAGUUUGCAGAAGGCUAAAAGACGAAAAUACUUUUCAUUUUAGAGAGAACUUAACAGAGAUUCCUACACAAGAAUGUCUAGGAGAAUUCAUCAAUUCAUUAGUUUGUCUUAUCUUCUUUUCCUUAAGUGUAUUGUUAGAUGAGCUAUGACAUAAUUAUCAUUAGUAGGCCUGAGUAGGCUAAAUUAAAAUUUUGAAUAAUAAAAUAACAACUCACCUAGGUUAUAGUCCAUGUUAGUCCCUUCUUGGGACCAUCCUUGCCUAUAUGUGGAGGAGGAUUAGUCCAAUCCCAAGUUCAGCUCUUCAUUAGUGGUCCAUUGUAAGUCUUUUCCUUUUGUAGGAACAAAA